UGAUUAUUAACUGUAUCAACUUGAAUUUACUUAUUAUUAAAAGACAAAUUAAGUUGGGUUAAGUAUGGUCAUAUGGUUUAAUUAUUAACUGUAUGAACUUGAAUUUAUUUAUUAUUAAAAGACAAAUUAAGUUAGGUUAAGUAUGGUAAUAUGGUUUGAUUAUUAACUGUAUCAAUUUGAAUUUACUUAUUUUUAAAAGACAAAUUAAGUUAGGUAAUAUGGUUUGAUUAUUAACUGUAUCAACUUGAAUUUACUUAUUAUAUACUCUCGACUCAAUUGGACAGGCGUUAACGACGUUUCUGCUCGAUUAAGAAGACACUUCCUAAACGUAUCAAGCCAAUUUCCCUAGAAGUUAUUCACAGAAUGUAGCCGAACAAAUACGAAGAAAGAAUCCGGAGGGGAAUCAUAGUUCUCACACUUUUUGGCCCAAAUAGCCGGCCAAAUUUACUUUGGUCCGGUGAUCAAGCUUUUCACGCUUGUUUUCGACGGUUUUCGACGCUUUUCAAAGGGCGCAGUCUCUGGCCAACCGGUCUGUCAACUGUUUCCUAUUGUUAUCUUGGAGUCGAGCCGGAAACGGACACCGGUUUCUUAACGACUUUUCGACACCAGACGGGGCUUGUACCUGCCGAUCUCGAGGAACGGGAUGGAAUGUGGGCCUGGCAGGUGCGUAAGCUGCCUAUGUACAUGUGGACGAGCCUUAACGCCUCGUAGGUGAGCCGCGUGCAGUCGAUCGAGAACAAGAUAAUGCCGAACCGUUUUGGGUCACGAAUAUUUCGAAGAAUGGCUGGCUUCGAGAGUCACACAAGUUUUUUUUCUUCGUCACAUUUCGAAACAUUUUUUUUAGAGAUGUAAUAUCAAAGUUCCUCUCUUUUUACAGUUCUUCGAGGAAAAAGAAGUUGGACCAUUUCCAAUGGAACUUUAUCCCAGAAUGUCGAGACAUUUUUCAAAAAUUUAUUAGAUAACGCAUAACCAGUCGGAUGAAAAUUCAGAAGACAUAAAAUAUAAUACUCAGACAAGGAACAGCAAAGAAACUUAUAUAAUAAUUGGUUAAAAGCGAAAAACUAUCAUCUUAGUCGCGUUGGAUAUAAUAUAAGUAUAUUUUGUGAAAAAUUAUUCAGAAAGAAAAUAUAAAAUCUUUAGGAGAUCGAGUAUUUUUCCAACCAAUUGUAUAUUUCUACAUGAUGGAGAGAAAAGAUGAUCACGUCGCUGGAUUUGUUCACUGGAUAAUAUGCAAUAUAUUCAUCGAAAGUAUGGUUCCGCGGCAAAUCUGUGCCACGACCGAAAUAAUAUGGAUGUUUCGCGUGGCCGUGAUGGUGCAAACGGCGCGUGAAAAGAAAUUGGUAUGAAGCAAGAUUCGAUUCUGAUAUAAGGUUCAAGAAAUUUAAAAGUUGAUGUGUAGACGAUAUAAUAUCUUUUGUAAGCUGUUUAAAUAACGCGUUAAAUGAACAUUGAUGGAUUGUACAGUGGGAUGAUUAUUGAUAGACAUUGUAUAAUGUGGAUUAAACAAUGGAACGAUACAAUAGUACCUUGAUGAACAGAAUACAGCUGUUGAAAGUAUUUUUUCUUUUUCUUUUUUCUAACCAGGUAGUAAGAUAUAUAUCGUAAUGAAACAAGAGAUUGAAACUAAAAGUUGAGUGAAACAAAUUUGUGCUAUAAUUAUAAAAUUGAAACGAGAUCGAAAACGAACGACGACACACUUAUUAACGUGGCAGAAAAUUGCCACGUAACAAACCGAGUGAUAUUUUAUAUCAAAAGAAAAAGAUAAAACGUUAGAAAGUGAAAAGAGAAAAAAAAUAUAUUUUAAUUAAAAUUGAAAUUGCAAACUUCAAGUUUUGAGGUUAAUUCGUAUUCCGUGUAUAGCUAUGAGGUUAUUUGGCCAUGGACAACAGACAGCAAAUAUGUUUUAUUAUAUAAAAAGAUGAAGGUAAAAAAUGAAUAAAAAAAAUCAAGUAUCUUCGUACAUAAAAUUCUCUUAACGAAGCUCAGCAAUCGAACAAUAAAAAAUAGAAUAGCAACACAGGUUAAACGAAUCCAGCUGUUCCAGCGCGCGAGCAUCUCUCCUAUUUAUAAGAACGAGCUAAAGAAACCGAUCCCAGACGAGUCUCGAGGAAGAGACGGGUUCAACGACACAACGAAGGAUUUUUCACCGAACGCGGCGAACGGACGAGUUACGUUUUCCGUUUCACAAUGUUGAAUAUAUGCAAGGAUUUCACGGCGGACGAGUAUAAUCUCGUAAAUGAACAUCUCUUUCUCGUAAAAUCGAGCGGCCGGCCGCCGUAGUAAACACGUGGCACGUGCAUGUGUCUCGAGCUCUCAUCCGCUCUCAUCGCGCAUGAUCCAACGACCGCGCACCAUUGUUUAUUUCAUCGAUGCCAAAAAUAAUACACAAACGCGAAUAAUGGUUGCAAUUAAUCGAGUUAAACGUUUAGAUCGAAAAAGUUCCAAGCUCGUUCAAACGCUAAUGGAUCUAAAGUCGAGUCUAAGACCGAAAGUUGAAGCUUUGUCGCAACAUUCACUGGAAAUCGCUUUAUAAUUUGUCGUUUGUGAAAAAUGUCCGCUGUCCACGGCCAAAUAACCUCAUAGCUGUACACGGAAUACGAAUUAACCUCAAAACUUGAAGUUUGCAAUUUCAAUUUUAAUCGUUCGAGGGGAAUCGAGGAAAUUUGUACGAUAUUUUCGAUCUUAUCGUAACGAUUGAGAGAAAAA
rnacentral:lncRNA from 1 species